UAAAAAGAGUUUCAAUUAGACUGCCUUGGAACUAUUGCUCAGAGUGGUACUUCGAAAUUCUUGAAGGCUCUUAAGGAAAAUAAGGAUCUUGGAGCUGACAAUGGUUUAAUUGGUCAAUUUGGUGUUGGGUUCUAUUCAGCAUUUUUGGUUGCUGAAAAGGUGGUGGUCUGUACAAAGAGUCCAAGGUCAGACAAGCAACAUUU